AUUGAACGCUGGCGGCAGGCUUAACACAUGCAAGUCGAACGAGUGGCGGACGGGUGAGUAAUGUCUGGGAAUCUGCCUUAUGGAGGGGGAUAACUACGGGAAACUGUAGCUAAUACCGCGUACCAUAAGAUGAGCCCAGGUGGGAUUAGGUAGGUGGGGGGGUAAAGGCUCACCAAGCCGACGAUCACUAGCUGGUCUGAGAGGAUGACCAGCCACACUGGGACUGAGACACGGCCCAGACUCCUACGGGAGGCAGCAGUGGGGAAUAUGGCGCAAUGGGGGCAACCUGACGCAGCCAUGCCGCGUGAAUGAAGAAGGCCGUCGGGUUUUAAAGUACUUUCAGUAGCGAGGCGUUAACUACAGAAGAAGCACCGGCUAACUCCGUGCCAGCAGCCGCGGUAAUUC
rnacentral:rRNA from 1 species